rnacentral:tRNA from 1 species
UGGGUUGUGGCUUAGUGGCAGAGUGCCUGCCUAGCAGGUGUGAGGCACUGGGUUCAAUUCUCAGCACCACAU